GACGAACGCUGGCGGCGUGCUUAACACAUGCAAGUCGAACGGAAAGGCCCUGCUUUUGUGGGGUGCUCGAGUGGCGAACGGGUGAGUAACACGUGAGUAACCUGCCCUUGACUUUGGGAUAACUUCAGGAAACUGGGGCUAAUACCGGAUAGGAGCUCCUGCUGCAUGGUGGGGGUUGGAAAGUUUCGGCGGUUGGGGAUGGACUCGCGGCUUAUCAGCUUGUUGGUGGGGUAGUGGCUUACCAAGGCUUGGACGGGUAGCCGGCCUGAGAGGGUGACCGGCGACAUUGGGACUGAGAGACGGCCCAGACUCCUACGGGAGGCAGAAGUGGGGAAUAUUGCACAAUGGGCGGAAGCCUGAUGCAGCAACGCCGCGUGCGGGAUGACGGCCUUCGGGUUGUAAACCGCUUUCGCCUGUGACGAAGCGUGAGUGACGGUAAUGGGUAAAGAAGCACCGGCUAACUACGUG
rnacentral:rRNA from 1 species